rnacentral:rRNA from 1 species
CUAAGAAUAUUCCGCAAUGGGCGAAAGCCUGACGGAGCGACGCCGCGUGGGUGACGGAGGCCGAAAGGUUGUAAAACCCUUUUGCGGGCGGAGAAGAAGGCCUGGAGGGAAUGCCAGGCCGGUGACGCCGGCCCGCGAAUAAGCCCCGGCUAAUUACGUGCCAGCAGCCGCGGUAACACGUAAGGGGCGAGCGUUGUUCGGAAUUAUUGGGCGUAAAGGGCGCGUAGGCGGCCCGGUAAGUCUGAUGUGGAAACCCCGGGCUCAACCCGGGAACUGCAUUGGAAACUGCGGGGCUUGAGUCACGGAGGGGAAGCCGGAAUUCCUGGUGUAGGGGUGAAAUCUGUAGAUAUCAGGAAGAACACCGAUGGCGAAGGCAGGCUUCCAGCCGAUGACUGACGCUGAGGCGCGAAAGUGCGGGGAGCAAACAGGAUUAGAUACCCUGGUAGUCCGCACUGUAAACGAUGCACACUAGGUCGUCGGGGCGAGUCGUCCCGGUGCCGAAGCGAACGCGGUAAGUGUGCCGUCCU